rnacentral:lncRNA from 14 species
GCUGUCUGUCACCCUCCCUGUAAAAAUGGCGGCCUAUGCAUGAGGAAUAACGUUUGCACCUGUCGUGGUGGGUACACCGGAAAAAGAUGCCAGACAAGCAUCUGUGAGCCUAUGUGCAUGAAUGGUGGAAAAUGUGUGGGACCGAAUAUUUGUUCCUGUGCUUCUGGUUGGAGUGGAAAAUGGUG